rnacentral:RNase_P_RNA from 1 species
GUUGUACGUGACCCUGUCGCUGCCUCCUCGGAGGGAGAGGAAAGUCCGGACAAUACAGAGCACCGCACCACCUAACGGGUGGGGGCCAGCGGAGGAAUCGGCCGGCUACAGAGCGUGUCACAGAAAGUAUACCGCCACGCCCAGGCGUGGUAAGGGUGAAACCGUGUGGUAAGAGCACACGCCGUCGGGCAGUAAUGUCAGGGGGAGAUAAACCUUGCGGAUUGAAAUGCCAUGUACACCAGUCUGCACUGUCUUCGGACAGGGCUGCAAGUUGCUCGCUUGUAUGGCUGGGGGGUAGGCAGAUGGAUCGCUACUGUGAGGUAGCGGCUAGAUAAAUGAUGGGGCCUGCGCCAGUCGUAGGGACAGAAUCCGGCUUAUGAUCGUGCAACUGGA